GACGAACGCUGGCGGCGUGCUUAACACAUGCAAGUCGAGCGGUAAGGCCUCUUCGGGGGUACACGAGCGGCGAACGGGUGAGUAACACGUGGGUGACCUGCCCUCAGCUCUGGGAUAAGCCUGGGAAACUGGGUCUAAUACCGGAUAUGACCUCUGGCCGCAUGGUUGGUGGUGGAAAGUUUUUCGGCUGGGGAUGGGCCCGCGGCCUAUCAGCUUGUUGGUGGGGUGAUGGCCUACCAAGGCGACGACGGGUAGCCGGCCUGAGAGGGCGACCGGCCACACUGGGACUGAGACACGGCCCAGACUCCUACGGGAGGCAGCAGUGGGGAAUAUUGCGCAAUGGGCGGAAGCCUGACGCAGCGACGCCGCGUGGGGAUGACGGCCU
rnacentral:rRNA from 1 species